UUUCACGCUCGCCCGAUCUGGCGGGACUGCCGAUCUCGGGGAUCGGCGGCGUCACCACAUGGCGCGACGCGGCCGAGUUCAUGGCCCUCGGCGCGGGCA
rnacentral:tRNA from 1 species